AACGCACAUUGCGCCCAUUAGUAUUCUAUUGGGCAUGCCUGUUCGAGCGUCAUUUCAACCCUUAAGCUCAGCUUAGUGUUGGGAAUCUACCACGAGCGGUGCUACCCGGUACCUACCCUGUAAGACGGGCGGGCCUACCCUGUAGCUACCCUGUAGUUCCUCAAAUCCAACGGCGGAGUUAUAGUCAUCUCUGAGCGCAGUAAUUUUUAUCACGCUUUGGCAGGUACCAUAAUUCUAGCCGUUAAACCCCCCAAUUUUUAAUGGUUGACCUCGGAUCAGGUAGGAAUACCCGCUGAACUUAA
rnacentral:misc_RNA from 1 species